rnacentral:rRNA from 1 species
CCCUGUGAGGGGAGUGAAAUAGAACCUGAAACCGUGUACGUACAAGCAGUAGGAGCACCUUCGUGGUGUGACUGCGUACCUUUUGUAUAAUGGGUCAGCGACUUAUAUUCAGUGGCAAGGUUAACCGUAUAGGGGAGCCGUAGCGAAAGCGAGUCUUAACUGGGCGCUCAGUCUCUGGAUAUAGACCCGAAACCGGGUGAUCUAGCCAUGGGCAGGUUGAAGGUUGAGUAACAUCAACUGGAGGACCGAACCGACUAAUGUUGAAAAAUUAGCGGAUGACUUGUGGCUAGGGGUGAAAGGCCAAUCAAACUCGGAGAUAGCUGGUUCUCCCCGAAAGCUAUUUAGGUAGCGCCUCGGACGAAUACUACUGGGGGUAGAGCACUGUUAAGGCUAGGGGGUCAUCCCGACUUACCAACCCUUUGCAAACUCCGAAUACCAGUAAGUACUAUCCGGGAGACACACGGCGGGUGCUAACGUCCGUCGUGGAGAGGGAAACAACCCAGACCGCCAGCUAAGGUCCCAAAGUAUUGCUAAGUGGGAAACGAUGUGGGAAGGCUCAGACAGCUAGGAUGUUGGCUUAGAAGCAGCCAUCAUUUAAAGAAAGCGUAAUAGCUCACUAGUCGAGUCGGCCUGCGCGGAAGAUGUAACGGGGCUAAGCAAUACACCGAAGCUGCGGCAAUGUCUUUUAGACAUUGGGUAGGGGAGCGUUCUGUAAGCCGUUGAAGGUGAAUCGUAAGGUUUGCUGGAGGUAUCAGAAGUGCGAAUGCUGACAUGAGUAACGACAAAGGGGGGGAAAAACCUCCUCGCCGGAAGACCAAGGGUUCCUGUCCAACGUUAAUCGGGGCAGGGUGAGUCGACCCCUAAGGUGAGGCCGAAAGGCGUAAUCGAUGGGAAACGGGUUAAUAUUCCCGUACUUCUGACUAUUGCGAUGGGGGGACGGAGAAGGCUAGGUGGGCCAGGCGACGGUUGUCCUGGUUCAAGUGCGUAGGCUUGAGAGUUAGGUAAAUCCGGCUCUCUCUAAGGCUGAGACACGACGUCGAGCUACUACGGUAGUGAAGUCAUUGAUGCCAUGCUUCCAGGAAAAGCCUCUAAGCUUCAGAUAGUCAGGAAUCGUACCCCAAACCGACACAGGUGGUCGGGUAGAGAAUACCAAGGCGCUUGAGAGAACUCGGGUGAAGGAACUAGGCAAAAUGGUACCGUAACUUCGGGAGAAGGUACGCUCUUGAUGGUGAAGUCCCUCGCGGAUGGAGCUGACGAGAGUCGCAGAUACCAGGUGGCUGCAACUGUUUAUUAAAAACACAGCACUGUGCAAAAUCGCAAGAUGACGUAUACGGUGUGACGCCUGCCCGGUGCCGGAAGGUUAAUUGAUGGGGUUAGCGCAAGCGAAGCUCUUGAUCGAAGCCCCGGUAAACGGCGGCCGUAACUAUAACGGUCCUAAGGUAGCGAAAUUCCUUGUCGGGUAAGUUCCGACCUGCACGAAUGGCGUAAUGAUGGCCACGCUGUCUCCACCCGAGACUCAGUGAAAUUGAAAUCGCUGUGAAGAUGCAGUGUACCCGCGGCUAGACGGAAAGACCCCGUGAACCUUUACUACAGCUUGGCACUGAACAUUGAACCUACAUGUGUAGGAUAGGUGGGAGGCUAUGAAGACGUGACGCCAGUUGCGUUGGAGCCGUCCUUGAAAUACCACCCUUGUAUGUUUGAUGUUCUAACUUAGACCCGUUAUCCGGGUUGAGGACAGUGCCUGGUGGGUAGUUUGACUGGGGCGGUCUCCUCCCAAAGAGUAACGGAGGAGCACGAAGGUGGGCUAAUCACGGUUGGACAUCGUGAGGUUAGUGCAAUGGCAUAAGCCCGCUUAACUGCGAGAAUGACGGUUCGAGCAGGUGCGAAAGCAGGUCAUAGUGAUCCGGUGGUUCUGUAUGGAAGGGCCAUCGCUCAACGGAUAAAAGGUACUCCGGGGAUAACAGGCUGAUACCGCCCAAGAGUUCAUAUCGACGGCGGUGUUUGGCACCUCGAUGUCGGCUCAUCACAUCCUGGGGCUGAAGUCGGUCCCAAGGGUAUGGCUGUUCGCCAUUUAAAGUGGUACGCGAGCUGGGUUUAGAACGUCGUGAGACAGUUCGGUCCCUAUCUGCCGUGGGCGUUGGAAGAUUGAAGGGGGCUGCUCCUAGUACGAGAGGACCGGAGUGGACGAACCUCUGGUGUUCGGGUUGUGUCGCCAGACGCAUUGCCCGGUAGCUAAGUUCGGAAUUGAUAAGCGCUGAAAGCAUCUAAGCGCGAAGCGAGCCCUGAGAUGAGUCUUCCCUGACAGUUUAACUGUCCUAAAGGGUUGU